GUAAGUAAUAGUUCACAUUAAAAAGCGAACAAAACCACAAGAAAGCGACAAAAUUCAAGGGACUACCUGAGGGCCAAGAUGAAUGCUAAAGACUGGAAGACAUGAGAAUUGAAAAUCAUGUCUUCAAAGACAUGUCUGAAAGACAGUAGGGAGUUCUUAUUCACUAGUCAUUUGAUACCCCCACACACAUGGUCCCA